UACCUGGUGGUCUAGUGGCUAACGAUCCCGCUCUCUCACCGCCGCAGCCUAGGUUCAAUUCCUGGGCAGGGAA